rnacentral:rRNA from 1 species
AUUGAACGCUGGCGGCAUGCCUUACACAUGCAAGUCGAACGGUAACGCGGGGCAAUCUGGCGACGAGUGGCGAACGGGUGAGUAAUGCAUCGGAACGUGCCUGGUAGUGGGGGAUAACUGCUCGAAAGAGCAGCUAAUACCGCAUACGACCGGAGGGUGAAAGGGAGGGAUCGCAAGACCUCUCGCUAUCAGAGCGGCCGAUGUCGGAUUAGCUAGUUGGUGGGGUAAAGGCCCACCAAGGCAACGAUCCGUAGCUGGUCUGAGAGGACGACCAGCCACACUGGGACUGAGACACGGCCCAGACUCCUACGGGAGGCAGCAGUGGGGAAUUUUGGACAAUGGACGCAAGUCUGAUCCAGCCAUGCCGCGUGCGGGAAGAAGGCCUUCGGGUUGUAAACCGCUUUUGUCAGGGAAGAAAUCUUCUGGGCUAAUACCCUGGGAGGAUGACGGUACCUGAAGAAUAAGCACCGGCUAACUACGUGCCAGCCGCCGCCGUAA